rnacentral:lncRNA from 1 species
CUCAAAGCAGCAAAUACAGAGCUGUACUAUGUCUUUGAGUUUGUACUUACUAAUAUAUCUCUGUGCAUGUAUAAGGUACUGAAUUACAACGACGGUCCAUAGAUUCUAAACCGUAGUUUUCCAUGACACUUUUUCAUACACAUUAUGAACUGAACCUUUUGCCAGAACUAGCUUGGCGUAACUACUCUUAGAUUAGACAUAUGAACAAUGGGCUUAGGUGAGUUAGUUUCAACUUUCUACAUGCACAUAUAAUCCUAAUAUUUACUAUAUCUAGGCUCAAAAUAUGAAACCAUUAGGGAGGGACAGCCCACAUUAUCAAUCCGCACCAAGUUGUCCAUACAACCAAUGUAGGACUAGCCCCCAUAGUAAAUACAAUCACAACAGCUUGUCCUAGAAGAAAUCAGAGUACAUGAAACGAGGUUUGAUUUCAAUUUUCUCUAGAACUUGAACUUAGAUGGUGUUUGAUAAAAUUGAGUGUUAAGAUCUGAAUAGUUUAGACAACUCAAUAAUUUAAGAACAUCUGUCCAGAAUUGUGUCUGAAUGAAAA